GUGCUCACUUCAGCAACACAUAAACUAAAAUUAGAACGAUACAGAGAAGAUUAGCAUAGCCCCACGCAAAGAUGACACAAAUUUGUGACGUGUUCCUUAUUUUG